GACGACGCUGGCGGCGUGGAUUAGGCAUGCAAGUCGAACGGUAUCAUCCUUUCGGGGGUGAGAGAGUGGCGAACUGGUGAGUAACACGUAGGUUAUCUACCCUCAAGACGGGGACAACCCAGGGAAACUUGGGCUAAUACCGGAUGUGAGCAACUUUUAGUUGUUUGAAAGGUGGCGUAAGCUGUCGCUUGGGGAUGAGCCUGCGUCCUAUUAGUUAGUUGGUGAGGUAACGGCUCACCUAGGCAAUGAUAGGUAGGCGGCCUUAACGGGUGGUCGCCCACACUGGGAUUGAGAUACGGCCCAGACUCCUACGGGAGGCAGCAGUCGAGAAUAGUCUACAAUGGUCGGGAAGACUGAUAGUGCGACGCCGCGUGAACGAUGAAUCCCUUCGGGGUGUAAAGUUCUUUUAUAUGUGAGCAGUGCUUCUUAUAUUAACAGUAUGGGGAGAGAGAUAUUAGCAUAUGAAUAAGCAACGGCUAACUCCGUG
rnacentral:rRNA from 1 species